ACGGAGGAUGCGAGCGUUAUCCGGAUUCAUUGGGUUUAAAGGGUGCGUAGGCGGUUUCUUAAGUCAGUGGUGAAAUCCUGCGGCUCAACCGUAGAACUGCCAUUGAUACUGAUAAACUUGAAUAUAGUUGAGGUAGGCGGAAUGAGUAGUGUAGCGGUGAAAUGCUUAGAUAUUACUCAGAACACCGAUUGCGAAGGCAGCUUGCUAAGCUAUUAUUGACGCUGAUGCACGAAAGCGUGGGGAUCAAACAGGAUUAGAUACCCUGGUAGUCCACGCCGUAAACGAUGUUCACUCGCUGUUUGCGAUAUACAGUAAGCGGCCAAGCGAAAGCAUUAAGUGAACCACCUGGGGAGUACGUCGGCAACGGUG
rnacentral:rRNA from 1 species